rnacentral:rRNA from 1 species
CCUAUGAAUUUUUUCAAAGACCUUUCUUGUUUGGAUCUUUGAAAAAAUUCAAGAAAGGUUUUUGAUUAAUUGGGGUGAUUUUUAAAUUUUAAAAAACUUUAGAAGUGUAUUAUUAGAUCCAAUAUUAUUGAUGGUUUAAAAAAAAUACUCUAGGGAUAACAGCGUUAUUACUUUGGAUAGUUCAUAUAGAUAAAGUAGAUUGCGACCUCGAUGUUGGAUUAGGAUACCUUUAUUAAUGAAGAAGUUAUAAAAGGAGGUUUGCUCAACCUUCAAAUUCCUACAUGAUCU